UUUCUAUUCAUAGUUAUAAACGAUGCAACCUGUAUAUCUCUUUCUAAUUUUGAAACAUUUUAUAAAAAUAUUUAUUUUGUUAGACAUUUUCUACUUAUUGACUUUUUCUUAUACAUGUAUUCAAAUGGUAAACCUCACGAUAUCUAUUUAAUAUUUAUUCAGUUUUUUCAUAUUGUAAUAAUUUGAUAUUUGCAGAUGAAUUUUUAAAUUAUAUGUAAAAAAUUAUCAAAUACAAUGACAACUAUAAAGAGUGGAGCUGACAUGAGACGAACAGGUUUUAUUUCUUCUCUCUUUCGUAUUUAAACAUACUUUGUUUUAGAUAUAUGUUUUAGUUACUUUAUAAUGUAUAAGUGUAUGUAUAUAUGUUUAUUUAUUUAUUUAUUUUUUAACUUAGAAUUGGAACAGUGUUGUCGAAAAUUAAAAGUAGCGGAAACAAAAUGUGGGUCAUUGAAGUCUAGAAUAAAUUAUAUGAAAAUGUUUUGUCAAAUUAAAACAGAUACAACAAAAGCAUCAUCAGAUACUUUCCAAACAUUAAUUAAUAAUUCCCAAGAAGAUGAUUUAAUACCUGAACAUUCUAAAGCAGAUUGUAACAUCAGUCUUUGUGAUUCAAAUAUCAGUGUUUUAACAAAUCAGAACUAUUGUAAUUUUAUACAAGAAAACCAUAAUCCUGAAGAAAGAAUUCAAGGAGAUAAGGAAAUCGAAAUGUGUGAUUAUAAAAUAUCAAAAGUAGAAGAAACUGAAAAUUUUUAUAAAGGUCUAGAUUCUGUUUCUGUUUGCUCUACAUUAAAACCAGCCAUUCAUGAAACAAGACAAAAACAAGCAAAGGAUAUUUCGGAAAAUAUGAUUUGUGAUGACAAAAAACAAGAGAUAGAAUAUACAACACAGCAGAAUAUUUUUUCUUUCAAAGAACCGUAUGAACGAAUGGUAGUAAAUAAUCCAACCAAAUGGACACCUCAAAUUUCAUCCUGUGAAAAUCCUGAUAUUAAUCCACAAGAAUUCAGAUUCAAUGUUUCAGACAGUAUAAAAAGUUCACGUAUGUCCAAAUGUAGAAAUUCAGUGAAAGAAAAUAAAGAGCCUAUAAUUUAUGCUAUAAAUGUAGAAAACAAAAAAUCUAUUUGCAAAGAUGAUCAAACGGUUAAUAAUAAUAAAAUUAAGAAAAGACGAGGUAAAUUACGAAAUAUUAAUUCAAAAAGUACAAUAGCUACUAAAGAAGUGAAUAUAACUACAAGGAAAGAUGUUAGAAAACGUAAACAGAAAGAUCAUAAAACAAAUCAUCAAUUAUUCGAACAAAAUAUACCUUCUUCAAAACUUCAACGUAAUUGGAGUGGGAUAGUAGAACUUUAUCACAAUGCUGCAAUGAAAAGUGAUAGCAUUUCUGCAAUUUCUAGUAAACUUGAAAUGAAAAAAUUGAACAAACGAUUUAAUAAUCCUCAAUGUAAUAUGCAUAUAAAAUUACCUCAUACUUAUGACCAAUGUCAAAAUUAUCAGAACCAUCAAACAGAUCAACAUCAUGAUAAUAAUAAGCUGCCUAUCUCUGAAGAAGCCGCAGUUAGGGUGGAUGAUGAAUAUACUUAUAAACAAAGUCAAAAUGGAGAAAAAAUAGCAAUUCCUAAUCAUGAAUGUAAAUUAUAUCAACAACAAAACACAGUAUUUGAUUUAACAUGUUAUGUUCCAAUGGCUAAUCGUAAUUAUGAGAUGCCAACUUUAGCUUCAAAGUUAAAAAGGACAAAUCGAUCAUAUUUUAACAGAUUUAAUUUUAGAAAUAUACCAUUUGUUGUUGGCACUUCAAUAACUCCAAGUCACAACUUAGGAUUAAAUAUUCAACAAGUAUUAAGUAUUAUGAAAACAAAGCAACCAAAUAUAACUGGUGUUACUCCAUUACUUAUACGUAAAGUUAGUAGAGGAUUAGAACCUGUAUCUACUCUUGUGAAACAAAUGGUUGUCGAAUCAGAAGAUCUAUCUAUGGAAAAUAAUUGUCAUGCUAUUAGUGCAGUAGAGAACAAAUGUUCAUAUUCUACUCAAACAUCUUCAAAAUUUAUAAAACAAUGUCCAACUAUAAAUCCUCUAUUGAAGCCACGAAUUAUUACACAGAGUGAAACUAAUUCUUUCAUUACUCCUGAUGAUAUACACAAACAACAAAAAAUUCAAGGAGACAAAGAAUCAGUCAAGAGUUAUUAUCCUCCUAUAAAAAAUACAGGACUUAUUCCCCAAUGGAAUCUCAAGGACUAUUCUCACACAACAAAUUCUAUUUCAAAAGAAGAGCAGAAUAUAGUAGACUGUAUUAAAUUUAAUGAUAAGUCAAAUAUGCAAUUAUCUGAAUCAAAAGGAAUAAGAGAAGUCUUAAUAAACCUUCAUGAUCAAUUUGAAGCAAUGAACAUGGAAUAUGAAAAUUUGCAAAAGAAAGCAGAAAAAUCUGAUGAUCAAUCAUUAAUAAAUGAAAUUGCUAAACUAGAAAAAGAAUUAAAUUCCAAAGAAGAAGAAAUAAAUGCAUUAAUUAGUCUUUACAAAGAGGUUAUGACAUUGAAGCAACAAAUGAAAAUACUACAACAAAGAAAUAGUUUUGUAUGCAUUGCAACAAAGGUUCCUGCAAUGAAUAAAAUGUAUUCUUCUACUCCAAUUAGUUUAAGUAAAACAAGCAAGAACUAUACAAAAGAUGCAAUGCAUACAUUUAGUAUGAAACGCCAAAAUACUAUAAGUACUCAGAGAGAAGCUUCAACUUCAAUGAAACUUGCAGGUCUUUUAAGACAAAUUCAAACGUUUCAAAAACAACUUAAGCUCACCUCCUAAUAAAUGGAUCAACAUAUUCUCUUGGGGAUUCUCAGACAAAAGUAUUAUCCAGAAAACGAAUCAAUAAUUUGUAUUACAAUACUACAAAAUAAAGAAUAACCUUAUAAAGGAAACAGUGACUUAACAAAUUUGACUGAUAAUUAUAAGCCUACAAGAGAGCAAAAACAAAGAGGCCUAUCUCUGAAAUAUUUGGUGCACUUUGUUGUGUAUCAUUUUCCGAAUAGAAUCUUCUCGGCACCAAUAGAGAAUUUCUAGGUGACAGCAUCGCUUCUACUCUGGCAUCAGAAACUUCUUCCUAUGAUAACUACGUACGUUGCCUUGCCGAUGUUGAAAACCCCAAUUUGUCAGACUGGGAUUAUUUCCAUCUUCAUGAUCAACUGUUGGCGGUCGAGCUGGUGACGGAGAUCUACUAGGUCCACUGCUUAACAUUUCAAGAAAACUUUGUGCUGGUGAUCCAUUAUGAUCAUUUGGACUUGGAGAUACGGUAUAAAUAUUCUCGUGUUCUUCAUUUUCCUGUCAAAUUAAAUAAUGUUCUUGUAGAGGAAUAUUAAAUAAUUGGAUAAUACUUAUGGUAUAUAUGAAAUAGAAGACUGUUUAGCAAAUA